rnacentral:rRNA from 1 species
UUCCGGUUGAUCCUGCCGGAGGUCACUGCUAUUGGGAUUCGGCUAAGCCAUGCAAGCGGAGGGCGCGGUCGAAAGAUCGUGGCCCCGCACACUGCUCAGUAACACGUAGUCAAUCUACCCUUGGGACGGGGACAACCUCGGGAAACUGAGGCUAAUCCCCGAUAGGUGAGGGACGCUGGAAUGCCUCCUCGCCCAAAGCUCCGGCGCCCAAGGAUGGGACUGCGGUCUAUCAGGCUGUUGGUGGUGUAACGGACCACCAAACCUACGACGGGUACGGGCGAUGGGAGUCGGAGCCCGGAGAUGGGGACUGAGACAAGGCCCCAGGCCCUACGGGGCGCAGCAGGCGCGAAAACUCCGCAAUGCGCGCAAGCGUGACGGGGGAAUCCCAAGUGCCGUUGGUCUUAUGAUCGACGGUUUUUAGGAAGUCUAAGAAGCUUCCAGAAUAAGGGCUGGGCAAGACUGGUGCCAGCCGCCGCGGUAACACCAGCAGCCCAAGUGGUGACCACGAUUAUUGGGCCUAAAGCGCUCGUAGCCGGAUCAGCAAGUCCCUUGUGAAAUCGGGCCGCCUAACGGUUCGGCGUGCAAGGGAUACUGUUGGUCUUGAGGCCGGGAGAGGUCGGAGGUACUCCUGGGGUAGCGGUGAAAUGCUCUAAUCCUAGGGGGACCACCAGUGGCGAAGGCGUCCGACCAGAACGGACCUGACGGUGAGGGGCGAAGGCUAGGGGAGCGAACGGGAUUAGAUACCCCGGUAGUCCUAGCUGUAAAGCAUGCGGGCCAGGUGUCUAGCGCUCCUUGAGGGCGCUAGGUGCCGGAGGGAAGCCGUUAAGCCCGCCGCCUGGGAAGUACGGCCGCAAGGCUGAAACUUAAAGAAAUUGGCGGGGGAGCACCACAAGAGGUGGGACCUGCGGUUCAAUUGGACUCAACGCCGGU